rnacentral:rRNA from 1 species
UUAGGUGCUUAUGAUAACGUUGUUCCACCUCUUACCAUUCCGAACAGAGAAGUGAAAUGCGUUAAUGCCGAUGGUACUGCAAAUGCGGGAGAGUAGGUCGGUGCCAACC